rnacentral:lncRNA from 1 species
CUGGAGCACACCGAGUUCUGGGAGGCACUGCAGGACUAGCCAUCAUGUAGGGAGCAAGUCUUCCUCAUGGGGUAAAGGAUGCCCUGUGUAACGGGGCUGCUGUCUCAACACAACAUAGGAAGUGUCUCCCUAAGAUGCCCCCUACAACCACCCAGCAGAUAUGAAGGCCACCCAGGGCAGGUAGCCUCCACGGAGUAAGGGCUGCACCAGCGAUAUGGUGGUCCUGCCUGGACCUUAGGUGCAGGUAUUUGAGUAUGCAUUUGGCCUGUGCUGUGAAGGCCCCAGAACCAACAAAGCCAAACUGCUACAAGCAAAGCUUCUGAAGAGCCCUGGGAUAGGAAAGGUUGGAGGAAAAUGAAUUGCCUACAAGAAAAUGUGUGAGGGAACACCAACGGCUCCCUAACACAGACAGGGAACCUAAUGCAGCUGUUCAGGUGCCAGCUGCUCACACCAGCUCCAGAGGCUCUUGCAGUCUUCUCCCCAUAUAACAGUGACACUGAAUAUGAGGAAAAGAUCCUUACUUCCAGAAAGCUGCUUCUCUGAAUUUCACCCGAGAGGACAGGAACAGGCAUCAUUCUCCAUGGGCAGAAGCAGCUGAAAGAGCACUUGGAUGAGCUUUGCAGCCCCAUGUGGGACUGUGCCUGGAGGAGGAACAAUAUUACUAAAAGCAAGUCUCAGGUGACACUGAUGAUCCUGCAAUGGAUUGACCACCUCUGGCCACGUGUGGACCAAAUGGAUCCUUACAACGCUAAUGAUACAAAAGUGAAAGAAAGCUGGUAUUUGUUCAGUUGUGUUGAGAAAGACCGUGAGAAGACCUGAAUGGCAUUGUGCACUAGAACGUUUGAGUUCUUUGGUUCCAUCAUACUGUGAAGAAAACAUCUUGUAUGUAGAACAAAUAGUCUUUAGAGCUAGCCAUAAAACAAAAUAAAAAAAUGCAUACUUCUUCUUUUUAAUUUUUA